UACGUAGGGCGCAAGCGUUGUCCGGAAUUAUUGGGCGUAAAGAGCGCGCAGGCGGUCGAUCAAGUCGAGUGUGAAAGCCCCCGGCUCAACUGGGGAGGGUCAUUCGAUACUGAUCGACUCGAAGGCAGGAGAGGGAUGCGGAAUUCCAGGUGUAGCGGUGAAAUGCGUAGAUAUUGGGAAGAACACCGGUGGCGAAGGCGGCUAUCUGGACUGUGAUUGACGCUGAGGCGCGAAAGCGUGGGGAGCAAACAGG
rnacentral:rRNA from 1 species